CUCAUAAUCUGAAGGUCGUGAGU
rnacentral:piRNA from 3 species